rnacentral:lncRNA from 1 species
AGAUGUUGAUCGAAGAAGAGGUGGAGGAAGAACUACUACUACAAAUGGUGAAGGAAUUUAAAACUUGUCCUUUCACUGAGCUUUUUUAGGGAUGACCUCUUCUUAAUACUUGUUCAUGGUACUGUUGGAGGUACUUAUAGACAUAAUUAGGCGGUAAAUUAAUUACACUAUGAUGAAUAUUCAUUCUUCCUUUGCUUGCACAUUCGUCCUUGCCUACAAAUAUUAGCGCAUAAAGUAGCUGUUAUUUGUCACAUCGACUUCUUCAACUACAACUCUUGUCUUUAAGCGAAUUAUCUUCCAUAAUGAUUGAUCGCAUCUUGCCUUACGAAUCACUAGACAACUUCUUAUCAUGGAGUUCUUGCAUUAUCUUCGCUGCAUUUCUUCUUUUUCGUCAUCCUGCAUAUAAAAAUGCUUAAAAACAUAGUUAAUUGAUGUAAUGACUUAUGUAAGAUGCAUUAUCUUAAUAUUAUAAAUUUGCACUAAAAUUUAUGCAUUUUGAUCAUUUAUCUCACUUUUUGACUCCACUGUUUUACCUAAAGGAUCACAAUAACUUGUAUUUCUAUAAAUUGUCAUCUUCUUUCAUCUCACAAUAACUUGUAUUUCUAUAAAUUGUCAUCUUCUUUCAUCUCUAUGGCCGCCAACACCAAGUUCUAACCACUUAGGCAAAUUUCCAUCAACUUUUCUUUUAGCAUCAAUCUUAAACUUUACUACUAAAAACUUAGCUUCCUUUCUAACUUAGUCUUCCUUCAACAAGGAUAGGGUUGGGGUUUCAACAGUAAGAGUUACUUGCUUCAACUAAUAAGUCCAAGUAGCAAGGACCUAGGUCCUCCUCUUAAAUUAACCAACUUAUGAAACUUGCCUCUAAUAUAAACAUAAACAACAUCAAUUUAAAGCGUUAAAGGCUCACUGCACAAUGACUACACAUGACACUUCUAUCCUUCAAUAUAACACCACAACAUAAUGGGUAUUAAUAAUUUGAAAUAAAAACUCGAUGUGCAAUAAAAUUCUUCCAAGAGAAGCCAUAAAACUAAUCAGAAAGUAUCAACUAACCACAAAUUACAGUUUUCGCGAUGGCUCGCAAUAACAUAGGACAUUAAAGAGCCACCAUCAGUGGCGGUGAGGGGCACAAAGUUCAAACAGCAGACAUGAGCGGUGCGCCAAAACAAGGUUGACACUCGACGGCUGAAGUGGGACUUGAAGAACUCACAUGGUUGAACUCGACAGACGUGAACAAAGUUGAAGCGUGGAUAGAACUUUUAGCCGACGGUGGGUGACUGGUUGAAGGUGGAGGGCUUGCGGCAACUGCCAAAAAGGAGAAAAAGAAUAAGAGUAAUUUUUCUUUUUCUUCCUUUCCAAUACAACCUUAAUAACACACCCACACUAUCUUCUAAUUUAACCAAAUAAAUCACCCUUUUGAUAACCUACAUCCUCCCAAAUUAAUCCAAAAUUAAUCCAAAAUAAAAUCUCUUUAACUUUUAAAUUGAAUUCAAAUAAUUCGAAGAUAAUUAAACAAAAAUUACUUGAAAUUUUGGAAUGUAACAUCACAAUUAUUCUAACAUUUAGCAAUAUUCUAUUAUUAGAUUUUAGGAACAUUUUGACUUAUCUUUUUACCUUUUGAUAUUCUAUCUUAUCUUUUAAUUUCAUAGAAUAUUUUAAAAUUUUAAAAAAUAUACCACUUAUUAAUUUAUUAUGGAUUAUGGAAUAUUUUUUUAAUAUCAUUAAUUAUAUUAUCUCUCCUCUACAAAUUAUAAAAAUAUUUAGUUCUUUCCUUAUCAACUUUAUUUUUGAAAUUUUGACUUUGUUUUGUGUUAAUUAUUUAUUUUAGUUGAUAUUCAUUUAGUGCACGAUAUUCCAGUUAAUGUUUCCUCUGUUCUAGGAAAUUUUGUUUACAUUAAUUUAUUUAAUUUUUCUAGCUAAAAAUCUAUCUCUCCACUUAAAUGUCAACUAUAUGUCAAAUAUACUGACAAUACACUUAUAAAAGUAUAUAACACAUAUCAUAGCUAACGAAAAAAGCUAUAAUAGACUUUUUAUAGCCUUUUUUAAAAGUCUUGGCAGUCAUGUUAUUAAAAGUCUACAACUUUUUAUAGCGUUUUUUCGAAGCUAUAACGAGUGCUAUCGUAGAUUAUGAAGAUAUAGCUUAUAUGUGUUGCUACAAAAAUAUUUGAUAGCGUUUUUUAUUAGAGUUAUAAUAAGUUUAUGUAGCUUAAAUAAUGUGCUAUCUUUGACAUAUAAUAGCAUGUUUUCGACGCGAUAAUAUAGUAUUUAUAGCUUUAAUAUUAAGCUAUAAUAUAGUAUUUACAACUGUAAUAUUAAGCUAUAACAUAGUACUUGCAGAUGUAAUAUCAAGCUAUAAUAAUGCUAUUUAAUCGUUUUCAAUUAUUUUAAUAAUUAUAAUAACCUUAUGAUAGCAUUUCAUUUUUAGCUAUAUAAAUCUUUCUAUAACUUUAACUUAUGGGUACGAGAGUGAUAAUUUUUUUCUCAAAAAUAAAUUUUCAAUUAAUUAGCUUUUGAUAAAUUUUAGUUCAAGGAUCAAAUUUAGUUAAAUCUACACACAUAAAAUUACAAAAUAAAGUAUUUAAUAAUAUUCUUAACUAAAGUUGUGUUUAAAAUGAUACACGAAGGUAAAUAAAGUAUUUUGUAAAGAUACCAACACAAAUUAACCCACAAAAUUAAUACAAACAAAAUUCAAUAUAAGUGUUCACAGUUAUAUUGUAGGUAUGAACUAACUGUCAUCGUUGGUUUUUUAGUCCUUUGGUUAAGACACCAUUUCAUUCACCUACAUAAAUUUAUAAAAACAUAUAUCAAUGUAUGAUUAUGUAGACACUAAGAAUAGUGAAUAUUAAUUAAAUAAUUAUAGAAAAUCUUUAACAAAUGUGUACACAAAAAAUAUUAGAAAUAGAUAAUAUACCAAUAGUCACUUUAUCAUAUGGCCAUGCAACUGUACUUUCUAAAGCUUCUUCAAUACAUGUCAUUUCUGACGUUGGCCUCCAUAAAUAUGCAUUUGGUUUCUUUGCUACAUCAACCCAUACUCUACCUGCAUGUGGACCAAUAGGAACAUGGUUAACCAGAGCAGUUUGAUCAUUAGAAGACCAUCUUUCUUCUCCAACAAUCUCUUCUGAGCCAUACCAAUCCAAUAACUUGCACUUAAUUUGAGUGUUUGUUAUUGAUACUCUGUCAGAAGAUAAAUAUGAGAUACUAGAAUAAGAAAAUAAUGACAUCAUAAUACUUUUGAGAAAUAUUACAAAUAAAUUUACUGAUGGAGAAGACAUUGGACAAGUUAGAGGAAUAUUUAUUCGCUUAAUUAGCACACUUGCAGUAGCAUUUGAAAGUUCCUCACUUGGUUCUGCCUACAAUAAUCCCAUAUGAAACCAAAAAUAUAGUUAACUACUAAUAGGAAAAAAAAGAAUCUAAGUAAAAAAAAAAAAACUUGUUUCUUUAAAUAAGAUGACAUAAGUGCUUUGAUUUCUAUCAUUUUCUCUUUCAUUGCUUUCAUUGCUUUCAUUUGUUUCAACGAACAAUUAUUGUUGGUUUACAUAUUAUACUAAACUUUUUGUCCUUUUUUUUUGUUGUGUAAUUGUUCGUUGGAGAAUUUGUUUUGUUUGUGGAUAUGUCUUAUUGAAACAAAUAUAUGUAAUGCAGGAAAUGAAAAAUGAAAAAAGAAAAAUUUAGUAUAUUUAAUAUAUUAAUAAAUGGUAUACAUAACAGUCACAUAUACUAUCUUAUUUGAGUCAAAUAUACCAAUUUGCUUGAUGGAUAUAUAGUGUCAACUAUAAAAUGUCACUUGACAUAUACAUAAUGUCAAAUAUACUAUCUCACUUGACAGGUAAAUAGAGUCAAAUAUAUAUCUUACUCGACUUGUAAAUAGUAUCAAGUAUAUUAUCUCACUUGACAGGUAAAUAGAGUCAAGUAUAUAUUUUACUCGACGUGUAAAUAUUGUCAAGUAUAUUAUCUAACUUGACGUUAAAAAACCGUCAAACACAUUCUCUUUCUUGGCACGUAAACAACGUCAAAUAUACUAUCUUACUUGACACAAAAAUGAUGUCAAGCAAUAGAGUACUUGACGUUUUUUUAGUGUCAAGUAAUAGAACUAUACUUGACAGUCUAUUACUUGACGCUUUUUAAAACGUCAAAUAUAGAUUUACAUGACACUUUAUUAACGUCAAGUAAUUCAAUUUUUGUCGUAGUGAUUCCUUCAUCUUCAAAUAUUCUUUUUCCAAAACCUUGUACUUGUGAUCUUGUUGAGACAAAAGAGUUAGUCUUGAACGAGUCACACCAAAACCAAAUCCUCUAACAUGACCACGAUCAGGGCCAAGAACUUUACUCAAUGCAUCAUCAACCACGUUAGUGGUUGAAAUUGUUAUCACAUAUAUUAUUGUUUAUUUUUUAGCAUGUUUAUAUAUUGUCACAUCUCCUCCCAUAUCACUUUCUCUAGUUUCGAAAGGUGGCGGAAUGUCAACUGAAAUCAUUCUCCUUUGAAAUAAUACUAGUUGAACUCUUAACCUCAAAUCUUAAAACAAUUUGCAAGUGGAAGUCUUUAUACUUAUAGAAGACAAAACCGAGGUGUAGGCCACUUUCGAAAAUGAAUUUUUAUAAAUAUAAUGUUUUAGAGGAAAACAUAUAAAUCAUAAGGAUUAUAAGUUUUCACAACUCAUUAUGAAUUUAACAUGAUAACAUAUUUUAAUGUGGCAAUUUCUUUUCAUUAUCGUAAACUAAUUGGUCUAGCAAUAGUAAGUCCAACACUAGGAGAGUCACAAUUUGUACUUAAUAAGAGAGAAAACAUUUGAAAGAGCAAGUCAAAAGACUUAGUGAGCGACAGUUUAAUAAAACAAGUUUUCAUAAACAGUUUAUUACCAUAAUGUUAUCAAUAAAAUUGAUGAGAGGCGAUAAAAUGUUGUACUUCAGAGUUCAUUAUACGUUAAUAAAUUAAAUAUAGAAUUUAUUAAAGGAGUCUUUUAAAAAAUAUAAAAAAGCACACCAAAAUAUUUACAAGGUAUAAAACAAUUUCGAAAACGAAAAAACUCAAACGACUAACAAGAAAAAAUACAAAAAAUGUUUCAUCAUUAAUUGACAUCCAACAUUCAUAAUAUAUUUGGUAAACGAUGAUAUAAAUUUGACUAUUUCUUUCAACUAAUUUAGAUUUGACUAUUUCUUGUAUGGAUUUGACAGUUUAAAAGAUUUUUUUUCAACAUUUUUUGAUAUGAUGGUUUAAAUUUAGGUAACUAAAUCUAAAUGAUUUUUUAAAAAAGAAAUUGGUACACGAUCGUUUAGAUUUUGUAUAUAAUUGUUUAGAUUUGUUCAUUUCAAUUUUGGAUAGCCAAAUCUAAAAAGAAAUUAAGAUUUUUUUUUAAUCAUUUAGAUUUGUUAGACUAUCAUCUAGAUUUUAUCGUUUAAAUUUGAGACGAUUUUUUAAAUAGUUUUUUUUGUACACGAUCAUUUAGAUUUGGUUAUUUUUUUUUGUACAUGUUCGUUUAGAUUUGCUAUCAAAUAUUUCAAUAAUUUUUUUCACGAUCUUUUAUAUUUGAAACAACUAAAUAACAGUUUUAAAAAAAUUAUAAAAAAAUAGAUUUUUUAUAUAUAUCAGUAUACGAUCUUGAACCAAAUAAAAGAAAUAAAAGAAAAUAUGAAGAAGAAAAGAAAAGGACUAUGGAAAGAAGAAAAAUAGCAUAAGAAGAAGAGAAGAAAGAUAUGAAAAGGAAGAACAAACCUAAAAUAUUUGUUUAAAAUACGGUGAGUUUCAUGAAUUUUUUUUAUUUUGUUACCCCGUAAAUAUUUCGUUGAUUUGUUAUAUUUUUAUAGUAAAAUGUAUAGAUUUAGGUAUGUUGUAUUAAAAAGUAUCCGAGUAGAAGAAGAAAGCAUAUACUCGAAAAGAGUUAAAUCUUCCAAACAAGUUCUUAUUUCUUUCUCUCAAAUAUUCUAAAACAUUGAUAUGUGAAAGAGAAAAAAGUGUGUUUAAAACAUUAUACAUAACCGUUUUGCUAGUAUGCAAAAACAGUUUGUGUAUUAUUUAUAUAAUCUUUUUGAUGCUAUUACAUGUCUGGUAUUUCAUUUUAUAUAUGGGUAAUUAUUAAACAUAAACUUGUAGCCAGAUUGCCUCAAAAUACAAAAUGUAGUUUGAGUUGAGAAAAGAGAAUUUUAUGCACGGUCCAAAGUUGGAUUUGUGCAGCCAAGUGAAAACUUUGCUCGAACAAUACAACCUUUGAUCAGCAUCCCACGUUUUUCAUAGUUUGAGUAUUCCGUUACGCUGAACUUAACUAGGCCGGUACUGUUACAUCCAUCGUCAUUGAGAGUGAACUCGCCUACUGUGAGUUCAAAGAAAAUGCCUAUCGGCUUCCUCGCGAGGCUUACUUGGCUCUGUCUCGUUGACCCAUCUGGUGUGGUGAUUGUAACGUUCAAAGGAGUCUGCCAUCCGCCGGUAUUCUCAGUGAGCAAUACCAAUAAUGAUAACACGUUUAAGACUUUUGGUGUCACCAAUGGUGCGGAAAAUGCUCCACGUAUGUCAAGCUUUUGUAUUGCAAUCAGUUGAGGGGCAUCCACAGAAGUACUGAACGUUUUGUUUUUAUUAACAUAUAUAUAUAUAUAUAUAGAUAGAUAACAAUAUUAUUAAAUUGAAUUUCGGUUCUAGAAAUAAUUAACAAAGAAAAAAACAUACAUAUGGUCCGUGAUGUAGAUCCAUUUCCAGUAUCGGGGAUCAUUAACCCCGAAAAUAGUGAGAAUUUUUGGUAAUAUGAAGAGUCGAUUAGUGUUUGUUUCGAGAUUAAUUCUGAAUUUCUGAAAGCAUUCAACAAAAUUAAUAAUCAAAACUCAAUUAUAUAUACAUACAUAUAUAUAUUUAUUAGCAUAUUAGAUUAUAGAAUAAAUCAAUAUAUUAAAUUUAAGCAGACACUUACGAUAGUUCCAUUGCAGAGGGAGAUGCCACGUUGAGAUAGUUGAUUGCAAAGAGGAAGGAAGGUUGGCCACUCGACUCCAGCUUGGUCGUCUGCGAGGGCUAAAAUUGUUUCUAAGCAAUGGUCAUACUCAAGUUUUUUUACCAAAUGCUGUUUUGCUUCCGCUUCCGUAGUCAUUUCAACCCUCAAUUAAUUACCUUUGAUAAAUCAACUAUAUAUAUAUAUA